rnacentral:tRNA from 1 species
GGUCUGGUAACUCAAUGGUUAGAGUAGGGGACUCAUAAUCCCUUAGUUGGGGGUUCGAAUCCCUCCCGGACUA